rnacentral:rRNA from 1 species
UCAUUCGAUUUGUUGUGGAUUGGAUGAUGGAAAAACUAGCAAGCAGAAAGCGUAGUUAGAAAAGUUGCCGUAGCGCGCCCUACGGAGUUGUACAAAGUCAGCAACCGUUUUGGGGCACAAGCAUAGGCAACACAGGACUGAUGACGGGGUGGGGUGCGCAGUGAACUGGUUUUCUAAAAAGAUUGGAAGAUCCAGCCAAAGAAGGUGAUAGCCCUGUUUAUUCGUUCCCAU